rnacentral:rRNA from 1 species
CAAUAGCGUAUGUUAAAGUUGUUGCAGUUAAAAAGCUCGUAGUUGGAUUUGUGGCGUACGGUGUGUUCCGGGCACUUGUUGUCUGAGUAACCUGCUGUUGCCAUCCUUGGGUGGAACCUGUGUGGCAUUAGGUUGUCGUGCAGGGGAUGCCCAUCAUUUACUGUGAAAAAAUUAGAGUGUUCAAAGCAGGCUUAUGCCGUUGAAUAUAUUAGCAUGGAAUAAUGAGAUAGGACUUUUUUGCUAUUUUGUUGGUUUGCGCAAAGAGGUAAUGAUUAAUAGGGACAGUUGGGGGUAUUCGUAUUCCAUUGUCAGAGGUGAAAUUCUUGGAUUUUUGGAAGACGAACUACUGCGAAAGCAUUUACCAAGGAUGUUUUCAUUAA